GACGAAGGUGGCAAGCGUUGUUCGGAAUCACUGGGCAUAAAGAGCACGUAGGCGGCUAAGUCAGUCGGAUGUGAAAUACCUCGGCUCAACCGAGGAACUGCGUCCGAUACUGCUUGGCUUGAGGUCCGGAGGGGAGAGUGGAAUUCCCGGUGGAGCGGUGAAAUGCGUAGAGAUCGGGAAGAACGCCGGCGGCGAAAGCGAACUCUCUGGUCGGAAUCUGACGCUGAGGUGCGAAAGCUAGGGGAGCAAACGGG
rnacentral:rRNA from 1 species